GAGUAUAACAAGUACAGAGGCAUUUACUUUCUGGUCUGGCGCCAGUGGCGCAGGUACACACAAUCCUCCUUUUAGAAAGCAUGUAUCAUUCAGCUAUUUAAUAAACCUGUUGCCAGUGUAGCAGAGUUUCUUGCGAGAUGACAAAUCAAAUACAACGUAUUCCUUUUCAACUUAUCAAACAACGACUUGUAGACAAAUAAUUACUAAACGUGGUAUUCAAAUGUUAAUAAUUCAAAUUAAAAACAAUUACUUUGGAAAAUUGCAUAUGUUUUAACUUCCGGCUUGUCAAGAUCUAAACCCUCAUCACAUAUUACGAAAUAUUUACAUCUGAUAAAAAAUAUAUAAUUUAUAAGUUUUAGUUCGCAGUAAGUAAAGGAUUCCCGGUACAAAGAAUUUGCUCUUAUCAUCUAGCUUAUGACAUUCAUUUGUGAUGAAUCAGUUAAAUAAUUCUAGUAAUUAACCAUAUCAAAAAGCAAAAUAUUACUUACAGUUACGGGUGAAGGUAGAAAUCAAAUUUAUAACCAUAAUAUUUUUUUCAAUAACGGGCCUAAACCAAAAUUCACUCAUUUUCCUUUGUGAAAGUCCUUGUUUUAAUAGGAAAUCACGAAGCGACGAAAAUCGCGAUCGAAUCCCACUACGGUAACAUACGAGGUAAUCCAAACAACACAUACUAUCCAAAUAAAAAAUAUGGAUUUCCGGUUUAGACCAUGGGCAUUCGACGACCCCGAUGAAAUUCGGGAUAUCACGGUCUUCGUUAAUGUUAAUAAGCGUCCGUCAGAUCAUUAGGCCAAACGCAUUAUCCGCACAAUAAGAUGUCUGCGACACAAAAGAAAUUCAAAGUAAGCUGUUAAUUUUGUUGCGUCACAAGCUAAUCAGCCGGUAACAUGACUACACUGAUAUAAUUUGUGAUUCAAACAUGCUUUAUUCAUUACUGAGUAGCUUUUUUAAACGCCGACAUUUUGAACAUUUUUAUCUUUACAUUGAUUUACAAUGAGAGUAGAUACUUUUACAUAGGCGCCGACAUUUUUGAGAAAACAAAAACUUUCUCCAGCGAGUUCUUCAACUCAGGGAAUGAGAGAAUAGAUUCACAUUUGUGUCGCUUUUCAAUUCGUAUUUUAAUUCCUUUCCGGUACUUUAAUUUCUUGGAACUUUUCUGUUACUCACUAAGCCUAUAUUGAAUUUUUACGAUUAAGAAAUCCGUGAUUUUCCUUGCAGGCAUGACUGAUUAAUGGAAUUAUUUUACUUUUAUAUAGAAUAUGGACGGCACUCCAGUACAGCAUGUGCUCGGUUGGACCUGUUGACGUUUUUAGAAACAUUUACUUCUUGAGAGCAGGCAGCUACAAAAUGGAAGGUCAACAAAACCAGUAUAAUUUACUUGAAAAGCAAGAAAGAAAAACCAGAAAAUAUGAAAAGACAGAAGACCAAUUAACUUGAAUUAAAAAAAAAAAACUUUUGAAAAUAAGAAUUCAUGAUUUACUUAGGAACUAAAUUUAUUUUGAGAACAGCAGUGAUUGACUAAGCUCUGUUACUUUUAGAGAUAAAGCACCAUUAUCACACUGGUUUUGUUAUAUGCUUAUAAAACAUACUAAAGUUUCAUAAAUCUUAUUUUAGAUAACUGAUUUCUGGUUUAUUUUGUAAAGGUUGUCUACUAAUUAACAUAGUUAUAUUUAAGUAAUAUUUUCCAUGAAAUUUUGAAGAGAAUGUUUUGUUAUACCCCCAUGUAGUAAGCUUGUCUGUCUUUCAGUCAGUUUGUUUUCAUGGUUUUCGGAUGAUAACUCAUGAAAAGCUUGACCGAUUUUAAAUAUUUUGGUACACAGGUGUAACAUCAGAAAAUACAGGUCAAGUUCGUAUUUGGGGUCAGUAGGUCAAAGGUCAAGGUCACAGUGACCUUGAACAGGUAAAUGUUUUCUGGAUGAUAACUUGCGAAUGCUUUGGCUUAGGAUCAUAGCUUUUGUAACACAGGUGUAACAUGAUAAAAUACAGUUGUUUGAAUUUGAGGUCAGUAGAUCAAAUGACAAGGUCACAGUGACCCUGAACAGUUGAACCGUUUCCGAAUGAUAACUUGAGAACUCGAGCCUAGGAUAAAAUACAGGUCAAGUUUUACUUUGAGGUCAGUAGGUCAAGGUCACAAUAAGGCAAAACAGUGAAAUGUUUUUCAGAUUAUAACUUGAGAAGGCUUGAGCCUAGGAUUAUGGGAUCAGGGAGGUUAAUUAUGACAAGCAGGUGACCCGUAAUGAUGUUGAGGUCAGUAGGUCACAGCUCAAGGUCACACUGACCCUGUUCUUUAAAAUAUGCACGGAGGGGCACCUGGGGUCUUCCUCCACCAUUAAAGCUGGAAAGUCGCCAAAUGACCUAUCCUGUGUCCAUGUGACUUUAAAUCCAACAAAAUAAGUAACGGUUCUUUAAAACGUUUUUUAGACAAUUACUUCGGAAUGCUUUGGAUGAGGAUCACAAAAUUUAGUACAAAAAAAACAAAGACAAAUAUCAAACAGGGAAUGCCACGCACCAAAAACGCAGCCUCCUCAAAACGAAACCCACAGCACGCAGACGCAUGCACCACACACACACACACACACACACAGCCAACACAUUAGGACAAAACGAACAAACAAAGGAACACACACAUACACACACACACAGCCAACACAUAGGACAAAACGAACAAACAAAGGAACACAGUGGGGCACCGCCUUCGAACGGUCAGUGGCAAAAACACCACUGGGGAGCUUAAACCGGUUUAUGGUGCGCACCCAACCUCACUCUUACACCCACCAUGUUCCAAAGACAGGGGACAGUGUAAAUAAAAGUAAUCCCCUCCAGGUGAAUCUCUUACACACGUAAAGGAAACAAAAAGGCAUGGCAUGUAAAACACAAAAAUGCUCGUGUAUAAAUAUAUUAAAAGCAAACCUUAAGAACCAAAAACGUAUGUACGCAAUGCCUUUUCAGAAGACAGAGCAACAAGAGAAACACCCUUAAGGGCCCGACGAAACAGGUCAGAAGACAAAUAUCAAAACAGGUCAGUCAGGUUGGAUUUAUAAACUGCUUAUCAUAGAGUCCUCCCCCUCUUCCGUCAGACACAAUCAAAGAGGGAAGCGUAGGUUAGUCUUAUUUAAGGUUAGUCUUGACCACCAGAUGACCUGUAUUGAUUUUGAGUUCCAAUGGUGAAGAUGACCCGGAACAUUUAAACUUUUUCCAAACAACAAUUUGAGAACACUGGGGCGGAGGAUCAUGAAACUUCAUAUGGAGAUUGAUCUGGACCAGCAGAUGAUCUGUAUUGAAUUUGAGGACAUUAGGCCAACGCUCAAGAAGUGCUGCUUUGACAUUGGCUUAAUUCUGUGAUAAGGCCGUAUUGUGUCUGUCCGUCGUCAAAAAUUGGACUGUUAACACCCUAGAGGUCACAAUUGUGACAUAAUCUUAAUGAAACUUAGUCAGAAUGUUACUCUUAAUAAAAUCUUGGACGCGUUUGAUACUGGGUCAUCUGGGGUCAAAAACUAGGUCACCAGGUCAAAUGAAAGGAAAAGCUUGUUAACACUCUAGACGUCACAAUUUUGGUUCAAUCCAAAUGAAACUUUGUCAGAAUGUUACCCUAAAAAAAUUUUGACGAGCUUUAUAUUAGUUUAUCUGGAAUCAAAAGCUAGGUCACUACUUCAGGACAAAGGAAAAGCUUGAUAACACUCUGGAGGUUACAGUUUUGGCUCAAUCUCAAUGGAACUUGGUCAGAAUGUUACUCUUAAUAAAAUCUUGGACGAGAUCAAUAUAAGGUUAUCUUGGUUUAAAAACUAGGUUACCAGGUCAGAUCAAAGAAUUAAAGACUAUAUCUUCAUGAAACUUGGUCAAAAUGUUAAUCUUGAUGAUCCAUAGGUCAAGUUUAAAUCUUGGUCAGGGGGGUCAAAAACUAUGUCACCAGGUCAAAUCAAGGGAAAUGAUUGUUAACACUCUAGAGGUCACAAGUUUAGCCCAAUGUUCAUGAAACUGGGUCAUAAUGUUACCCUUAAUAACAUCUUAGACCAGUUUGAUAUUGGGUCAUCUAGGGUCAAAAACUAGGCCACCAGGUGAAAUCAAAGGAAAAAGUUGUUAACACUGUAGUGGCCACAUUUAUGACAAUAUCUUAAUGAAACUUGGUCAUAAUGUUAAUCUUAAUAAUCAAUAGGUCAAGUUUAAAUUUGGGUCAGGUGAAAUUAGAAACUAGGUCACUAGGUCAAAUCAAAGGAAAAGCUUGUUAACACUCCAGAGGCCACAUUUAUGACUGUAUCUGCAUGAAACUUGGUCAGAGUGUUAAUCUUGAUGAUCUUUAACUCCCUGGGGCCGAAAUGCGACUAAAGGCGCUAUAUUUUCUACCCCUGUAGCGUCGAUAUCCGACUAUAAGGACGGCAAUUGACGAGUAUAGUCGCGGCACCGAGAUCAUGCUGAUUGCGUCACGUACUUGUUAAUUUUUAGUCCUGAUAAAAGCAAAAUUAUUUUGCAUACCGGUUUUUAUUUCUUAGAUGUUAUAAAUUAUCAAUUAUGCUAAUAAUUAGUUUCCUUGUUAAAAUAAAUGUUUUCAAAUUUGCGGUAAAGGAAAUAAAAAAGACGAACUCCGCUGUGUUUCGUUCAUACUGUAUUUCAAAAGAUUAAAAUAAUGUCGGCUGCCAGAGAUUUUUCUGACAUUGAAGAAAAUAUUCAUUAUCAUGCUAAUUUUGACGUAUAAGUUCCUUUGGAUGAUGAAAUUUCAUUAUCAGAGAAAUGAAUGGUCGGAAAAUGUUAAGUUUUAGAAAGCUGAAAUAUUCGUACACUUACAUCGCAUUAAAUUCAAAUGGAUAAAAAUGACACAGCAAAACAAGUUUCAUACAUAAAAAUGUGUGUAAAUAAACGCUUUUUGUAAAUUUAAUAAUUCUUCAAAGAUGGGUGUCAAUAUUACAAUUUAACUGUCUCAGUGCGUGUAACACAACGUUUGUGUACAUGUUUAGAAAUUAAUGAGACAUCAAAAUAAACCAUCGUUAUUCGUUACAAAAAUGGGUGUUAUUUUUGAGUAAUGCUAAUGUAAAUACUCUGUGUUAAUAAUUUAUAUUUUUUAUUGGAAUUUAAUGUGUUUACAUGUGAAAAAAAUAAUAAAAUCGGAAAUGUUCAAAUAUUUAUUAAACGCAGUAGGUGUGUAAAAAUGGUGAAUGUUUCGAAAUGAAAUAUUAUUCUAUUUGGAUAUAAGUUACGGACGAAAGUGGAUAUAAAUAUAAAUAUUUGUUCAAACUUGGAAGAUUUUAAAAGUAUAGUUUGAUUUACACCAAUGUUAAUAAUAUUUUAUGCAUGAUCAAUUGACUGUAUGCUAGUGUGAUUAUAAUAAGAUCAGAUAAUGUUCUUCGACGUCAGGUGAAAAUUCUUAUCUCGCCGCAGCAUGUAUAUUAUGAUAUCGGCCUCAGGGAGUUAAAUCAAGUUUAAAUCUAGGUCAUGUGGGGUAAAAAACUAGGUCCCCGGGUCAAAUCAAAGGAAAAGCUAGUUAACACUUUAGAGGCUAAUUUUAAUGGAACUUGGUCAGAAUGUUGAUCUUGAUGAUCUGUAGGUCAGUAUGUCAGGAAAACAAUACAGGGCCUUCAUGGCCCUCUAGUUUAUUUGUUCUUGUUGCAAGAGAAAUGGUAAAUUUUAGAAUACAGAUUACAGCAAGUCACAUUUUCUUUAUUUUGACAAUACUUAUUUCAAGGCCUGACAAAAACCUCCAGUACUGUUAUUAAAGGUUGUUAUUCACAGUUCAGCUUGUGAACAGUUUUUUCAAUAACUAAAGUGUGAUGCAAGUCUUUGUAAUGUGUAUAUAAAAGCAAAAUUAGGAUUUGUUUUACCAAUGGUGGUACUAAGAGCGAGUAAUUGCAGAAUUACAAUUAACACAAAUAGAAAAAAUCAAGCCUGCAGAAGAAGGCUAAUAUGUCUUCCUAGUCUGAGCUCUUAACCUGUCGUGGUGCAAAUAGAUUGUUACAUGUGUGUCUGUCUGUUACAGUCUUGUUAACAGUGAGUUGCAAUCUAGUAACUUUUCAUUUUUGUAUGAUUUUUAGCUCACCUGAGCACAGUGUGAGCUGAUGUGAUCACCCUAAGUCCCUAAGUCUGUCAUGAUUGUGCUUCUCAACAAUUUGCCUGGAAACACCCUAGUAGACAGUUGUUUUUAAAUGUUAAAGGAACAAUUUGAAGUCUGAUCGAUUCCAGAUUGAGGCAGUGCCUUAUUAUAAUACAUAAGAAAAUGCCAAGCCGAUUUUUAUGUUUGGUUUAAAUGACAAAAAUAGAACACGUGUCAAAUAUGCGUAGGUACAAAUUUGAUUAAAAUAUACUCUAGGCAAAUGUGUGCGAGAUGAAUUUUGGUUUAUAUUACGACAGACUUACUUUUAAAUUACCGCUUGCGCAAAAUGUGCACCUGGGUGCAGAUCUUGCAUAUGGGAACUGUGCUACAGAUUACUUAUUGAAAAAAGAAUAUAUGACAUUAACCUUCGACAGCAUAUAUAGCAUAUAAUAGAAUAUAGAGGUCUAGUAAUAUGAAUAAAGUUGAAAAUUAAUUUUUAGCUCAAGGUGAGUUUUUCUGAUCGCUCGAUGUCCGGCGUCCGUCGUCUGUCUGUCAACAUUUAGCUUGUGUAUGCGAUAGAGGCUGGAUUUUUCAACUGAUCUUCAUGAAACUUGAUUAGAAUUAUUACCUUUAUGAAAUCUAGGCCAAGUUCGAAACUGGGUUAUCUGGGGUAAAAAACUAGGUCACUAGGUCAAAUCAAAGAAAAACUUUGUGUAUGCGAUAGAGGCUGUAUUUUUCAAUUGAUCUUCAUAAAUUUUGGUCAGAAUGAUUACCUUUAUGAAAUCUAGGCCAAGUUCGAAAACGGGUCAUCUGGGAUAAAAAAACUAGGUCACUGGAUCAAAUCAAAGAAAAACCUUGUGUAUGCGAUAGAGGCUGUAUUUUUCAAUUGAUCUUCAUGAAUAUUGGUCGGAAUGAUAACUUUGAUGAAAUCUAGGCCGAGUUCGAAAAGGGUUUAGCUGGAGUUAAAAACUAGGUCACUAGGUCAAAUCAAGGAAAAACCUUGUGUAUGCGAUAGAGGCUAUAUUUUUCAAUUGAUCUCCAUGAAUAUUGGUCAGAAUGAUUGCUUUGAUGAAAUCUAGGCCGAGUUCGAAAAUGAGUCAUCUGGGGUCAAAACUAGGUCACUAGGUCAUACCGGUAUCUAAGAAAAUACUUGUUUAAACUCAAGAGACCACAUUUUUAGUCCAAUCUUAAUGAAAAUUGACCAAAAUAUUUGUUUUCAUGAAAUCACUAUGUUAAACAUGUUUACACUGUUAUAGUGUGUUUCUCUUGAACUAAGAAAUACAUUUAUAGGCCAUAUUUUUGUCACUGACCAACACUUAAGUUUAAAAUUCUUUGGCAUAUAAACCUAAGAAAAUUGUUUUUAAAUUGUCCACAUUUAUGUACAUUCAAGUUAUACUGUAAAUUCUGUAUGUAAAAUACGAGGGUGCUUCAAACAGUUCUGUUACCGAUACGCUCAAACAUAUGAUUUUCAUGUUUUUUAAUUUUACAUGUAUAUAAAAAGGUAUUUAAUACCUUCAUAAACUAAAAAAAAUCGUUGAAAUGGGGAAUAAAUGAAAAAAGUUAUACCACUUGAAAUAAUGACAGUCAUAUGCGCUUGCUAUUUUUAAUGUGUUAUCAUAGCCAGGCAGUGAAAUGUGAAAUACGUGUCUAAAAUGCAACGCAAGAAUACCAAUAAUUCACUAACAGAAUGAAACUUGUGUGUAUGGUUAAUGCCCUCAGACGAUCUGACAAAUAGCAAUGGAGAAGAUAAAGUGAAAAACGCCCGGUAAAAACAAAGUCUCAGAAAAGGGACUAAAUACAAUUUCCUUUCCAAUCAAUUGUUGUGCCACAGUUGUGCAGAUCCCUUGUCAAACAGGAAACUCUAUUACUAGCAGUUUCUACAAGAGAACAGUUCUUAGUUCCAUAAAGACAUUCUAUGGGAAAGAGCGCCCGAAUAUAAGUUUGAAAGUCAUUUUCCUCUAUCAGUCGUCACCACCUUUCUGCACGACGAAAAGGUAAAACUACUUCAACACUCAAAAUAUUCUCCAUAUUUAAAUCCAUGCCCUUUUUAUUCUCUAUUUCCUCGCCUCAAGAAAUAGUUGUCUGUGUGACGAGAUGAUUGAAAGAGAUAUCUUGGACUGACUAGGCAGUGGAUAUCAAGUCUACACAAAUGCAUUUAUUUAAAGGGUGAUACUUUGAGAGGUUGACAUAGGUGUUAGGUAGGUAGGGUUUCUCGUUAAUAUUUUAGAUCCAGUAGCAGAACGUUUUGAAACUCCCUAGUAAUUACUUUAUUAUUAUGCUUAUAUUAUAUAUUGCUCUUGUAUUUAUUGAAUGUCAUUAUGAAAUAAAUAAACAUUGCCUUUGUGUUUUAUGCUAAAUGCAUUUAAAUAUUCAUAUUUGUGUUUUGCACGAAAAGUUAUUGGCACUGUUCACAGAAAGAAAGACUAAAAUAAAUCAUAAUAUAAUUGUGUGAGACAUUUAUAACGUCCAGAAAGAUAUCUAGGAAUAUUACGUUAUAAUUUAAAGAUACAUAAUUUUGUGCAUUCAUUUACCUAUAUUGCCUUUUAAGAUAUACUUAAGACAAAAAUGUUAUGUUUGUUCUGUCUGCAUUUAUAACUGAUUUACAAGAUCAAGAGGUUGAUGCUUUGUGAACUCAACUAAAUUUGUCGAAGCCUUUAGAGAAGAUUCAAACUUUUGCCGUUGUUCUUCCCCCUUUAUGCUAACCCGUUGUUUUUAAAUAGAAGCGCUAUUUGUUAUAAUUAAACUACUGAAACUGUGAAAAUGAUAAGUAGUUACACAAAAGAAUAAAAUAACAUGUAACAUAAAACAAAAAUCACUGUACCUGCAGUCACUCUUCAACAUUAAGCUGUGGUAAAAUACCUCCCAUAACAUUGAAAAAGGAACAAUUUAGGAUAACGGAUAACACUAAAAAGAAUGCCACUUGCAUAUCUAAGAAAACAACUAGCUUCAAAUGUACCCUAUGGGAGUGUGACUUGCUAAAAAUUUUGUUUUCACUGCAGUUUUUAAAUUAAUCUUUUCUAUUAUCUGUUUUGAAGAUGUUUUUAAUCUGAGCGUACUAGACGUGUGCGUGUGCAUGUGUGUGUGUGUGUGUGUUUCUAUAGACCAAGUAAUGUUCGCAUAGGCUUUUAUUUAGUGAUUUCAUGGUUAAGGUUAGCACUCUCGUCCGCAGUGUAAUGAAUUCGCGGAACGUGUGUGUUUGUGUAUUAGGACAUGACGUAUAUUAUAUAUGUAGACUAUAGUGUGUUUAGCAUUGUUCGUCUCAAAAAUGUUAUCGGGAGGUUUUUGUAACAUCAUAUCACAUUUUACAUCAUUGUAAUUAUGUUUCUUGCUAUAAAUAAAAUGUUUUGUACUCGGA